GUCUUUUUGUAAGUAUAAAAAGUCCGGUCUGCCCACUGAUGAGUAUAUUAAAGGGCCGCAGUAUUUUAACUGUGCAAAGGUAGCAUAAUCACUAGUUCUUUAAUUGAGAUCUUGAAUGAAUGAUUAGACAAAAAAAUUACUGUCUUUAUAAUAAUAAUUGAAUUUAACUUUUAAGUGAAAAGGCUUAAAUAAUUUGAAGUGACGAUAAGACCCUAUAAAGCUUAAUAUUAUUAUAAAAUUUUUGGUAAAUUAAAUAUAAAGUUUUAAGGUUUAUUAAUAUUUUAUUGGGGCGAUAGAAGUAAAAAGUUUAAUAACUGCUUUUUUUUUAACCAAGUAUGAAUGGUUAGUGUGUAAAUGAUCUUAUUUUAUAGAGUAAAAGAUUAAGUUACUUUAGGGAUAACAGCGUUAUUUUUCUUGAGAGUUCUUAUCGAAAGAAAAGAUUGCGACCUCGAUGUUGAAUUAAAAUAUCUAUAUAAUUGUAGUGGUUAUAUAAGAAGGUCUGUUCGACCUUUAAAUUUUUACGUGAUUUGAGUUCAGACCGGUUUAAACCAGGUCGGUUUCUAUCUUUUAAUUAAAUUGUAAUUAUUUUA
rnacentral:rRNA from 2 species